CACGUAGGGACCAAGCGUUGUCCGGAUUUAUUGGGCGUAAAGAGCUCGUAGGCGGUCGUGUAAGUCGGGUGUGAAAUCUCCAGGCUCAACUUGGAGGGGCCACCCGAUACUGCUCGACUCGAGUCCGGUAGGGGAGUGGGGAAUUCCUGGUGUAGCGGUGAAAUGCGCAGAUAUCAGGAGGAACACCGGUGGCGAAGGCGCCACUCUGGGCCGGUACUGACGCUCAUGCACGAAAGCGUGGGGAGCAAACAGG
rnacentral:rRNA from 1 species